GGCAUAUAGAAGUUCCCAGGCUAGGGGUUAAAUUGGAGCUGCAGCUGCCAGCCACAGCCAUAGCAAUGCAGGAUCUAAGUCUUGUCUGUAACCUACACCACAGCUCACGGCAAUGCAAGAUCCUUAAUCCACUGAGUGGGGUCAGGGAUGGAACCUGAAUCCUCAUGGAUAUUAAUCAGGUUUGUUUCCACUGAGCCACGAUGGGAACGCCAAAGCCUUUCAGUCUUAAUGCAAGAAUGAAUUAGAUAGUAUAUAAAGUGCUUAGCACAAUGCCUUACAUAAGGAAUUUAAUAAAGGAUAUUAUUACAUAUAAUAUUUUACAUGGACUCCUGACUGCAAGGAAAUCUAAGCAUCCAGUUUGUGAUUUCAGUGAAAACUGAUGGUGAGUAGACUCUCCCAACUCUGUGCCCCAAAUUUUUAUUUUUGCCAAGAACUGGAUAGUAGUCUUUUCCACUAUCAUUUGUGUAUAGAUCUUGAAUAUUCUUAAUACACUUGGGUCUUUAUGUUAAUUUACACUUAUAUUAAUACCUUUUUGCAUAAAUUCAGAGGGAAUAUGUAAAUUAGAAAUACUCUUCAUAUCUUUAACAUCCAUUAUAGAAAUUCAGUUACCACUGCCUCCAUUUCUUUCCAGCUCAUAAGCAUCCAGAUAAAAAUUUUAAAAGCAUUUGUUUCCAGGAGUUCCCGUUGUGGCUCAGUGGUUAACAAAUCCAACUAGGAACCAUGAGGUUGCGUGUUUGAUCCCUGGCCUUGCUCAGUGGAUUAAGGACCCAGUGUUGCUGUGAGCUGUGGUGUAGGUCACAGACAUGGCUCGGAUCUCGAGUUGCUGUGGCUCUGGUGUAGGCCUGCAGCUGUAGCUCCAGUUGGAUCCCUAGCCUGGGAACCUCCAUGUGCCAUAGGUGCGGCCCUAAGAAGACUAAAUAAAUAAAUACAUUUCUAUGAUGAAGUUUGACUUCCACUUUUCCUUACUAGGUCAAUUUUUCCACAUGAAGACUGCCUUUGUCAUGAGGACAAAAGCCAUAAACUAGCCCCAUUGAGAAGCUGUUUAUUUUGUGACCAACUCAGGCAUUUGUGAGAGAUCCAUGAAUGGAGUGAAAUGGCCCUCACUAGCUGUUGGAAUAUUCCACACUUUUUCUGUAUCAGAGGUUGGUGCUCCUUAUCACCCUACAAAUCUUAACAAGUUUUAAGAGGCCUUUAGUUAUCAUUCAUUUGCUCCAACAUAUCAGAGAAUUCACACUGAAAUCAUUUUAACAUAAUCACUAUAGAAAGGUCGUUAAACAAAGCUCUAUCCGUAUUUGGUAUCAGAGAAUUCACACUUGAAAGAAAUAGUAAGAAUGAAGGAAAGGAGGGGAGUAUAACUAGACACACAGAUGUGGAAGAAGCCACAGACGUGCUCAGAAAGGUCUUUCUUGACAAUCUAUGUAAAAUAGCACCUCCCCGCAUCCAUACCACCUAAAUCUUUCCUCUGAUUUAUUCUUCUUCAUGCCAAUAUCACCACCUGAUAUUUGUAAUUUUUAGCUAAUUAACUUACAAUAUUCUUUCCCCUUUGGAAUACAAAAUCCUUAAGAGCAGGAUUUUGUGCCUGUUUUGUUCCCUGACUACACCUUCCCAAGCAGCUAAGACAGAAUCUGGCAUAGAGUGUGCAUUCAAUAAAUUCACAUGAGGAAGGAACUGGGACCACUGGUUGAGUGACCUGAGUUGGUCUCCACAAGACUGGAAAUGGAGGCCUCUAGGCAGUUCCAAGAGAGGUAUCAGGAAAAAUGAGCCAAUUUUCCUUUUGAUAGUCACCACUUUCUCAUAAUUUCAGAGGUUCAAGAGUUGCUAUUCAAGGAAAUAGACAUGUUGACAUGGGGAAGAUACUCAAUUGUACUCACAAUGAAAGAAACAAAGUAACAAUAAGGUAGUAUUUUUGCCUACUAGAUUUAUACUCAGUGUUGGUGGGGUGAUAGGAGAAGCAGUGACUCACAGACAUUGCUAGAAGGGUAAACUAAAUGUAUGUGUAACUGUGUCACCAUGCUGUACAGGAGAAAAAAAAAAUUGUAUUGGGGAAAUAACAUUUAAAAAGGGGGAAAAAAUUGACAGAACACUGUAAACCAGCUAUAAUGGAAAAAAAAUAAAAAUCAUUUAAAAGAAAAAAAUUAAAUAAAUAAUUCUACCCUUAAGACUCUGUCCUACAGAUAUACUUGCAUAUGUGUGUACUGUUGGAUACAGGAAAACAUUAAAACAACCUAAAUGGAAGGAACUGGCUAUAUAAACAAUAUGACAUGUAAGCAACAAAACACCAUGCAGCCUUUAAAAGGAGUAAGAGUGAAAUAUAUUUCACCUCUCGGAAGUUCAGAUGGUAACUGCCAAGCACAAACUUGAAGUUUCAGACUUCCCUAUAGCUUAACUAGUGAACAUUGUUUUAACUCCAAUAGCAAACAAAGCCUUUGUAACUGUGAAAAUACAUUUUAUGUAGAAUUACAAACAUCUCAGAAAAUUAAAUGAAUUGAGGAUGACAGACAUGAGCUUUACUUCAUCUCCAAUUUUUUUUUUCUUUUUAGGGCCACACUUGCAGCAUAUGGGAGUUCCCAGGCUAGGAGCUGAAUCAGAGCUGCAGCUGCUGGCCUACACCACAGCCAUAGCAACAUGGGCUCCAAUUCAUGUCUGUGACCUAUACCAUAGCUCACAGUAAUGCGGGAUCCUUAACCCACUGUGCAAGGCCAGGGAUCGAACCUGCACCCUCAUGGAUACUAGUUGGUUUCGUUACUGCUGAGCCACAAUGGGAACUCCCAUCUAUAUUUUAAAUUUGGUAUUCAUUCCAGAUCUAUUUCAAGAUACAUCUAAUCCGUGAAGACUUCCCCCUGGGUCUCAGUGCAUAUGGCAUGGCAAGCAUCCCCAGAAUCUUAGUCUCAGGAGGCAGUACAGGAACUAUUCAUCCUACCCCACAUGGCAUCAAACUUUUGCAUUACGUCAGGAAAAGUGGUAUCUAAGAACUUUGGGGAAUUAUCUACUGGAUAAAAACUUAUUGAGUCUACAGCUUAAUGAGCAAAAUGAUGGCCACACUAUCCACCCAGAUAUUUGAGUCAGAAACCUAGGGAUCAUACCAGAUUGCUCAUUUU
rnacentral:lncRNA from 1 species